rnacentral:rRNA from 1 species
UGAGUAACCUGCCCUUGACUCUGGGAUAAGCACUGGAAACGGUGUCUAAUACCGGAUACGAGCUUCAGCCGCAUGGCUAGGAGUUGGAAAGAAUUUCGGUCAAGGAUGGACUCGCGGCCUAUCAGCUAGUUGGUGAGGUAAUGGCUCACCAAGGCGACGACGGGUAGCCGGCCUGAGAGGGCGACCGGCCACACUGGGACUGAGACACGGCCCAGACUCCUACGGGAGGNAG